rnacentral:tRNA from 1 species
GCAUCGGUGGUUCAGUGGUAGAAUGCCCGCCUGCCAUGCUGGCGGCCAAAGUUCGAUCCCCGGCCGAUGCA